rnacentral:rRNA from 1 species
UGGGCGAAAGCCCGAUGCAGCAACGCCGCGUGGGCGAUGAAGGCCUUCGGGUCGUAAAGCCCUUUUUGAGGGGAUGGGGAAGGACAGUACCCUCAGAAUAAGCCUCGGCUAACUACGUGCCAGCAGCCGCGGUAAUACGUAGGGAGCAAGCGUUGUUCGGAUUUACUGGGCGUAAAGGGCGCGUAGGCGGCGCGGUAAGUCACUUGUGAAAUCUCUGAGCUUAACUCAGAACGGCCAAGUGAUACUGCUGUGCUAGAGUGCGGAAGAGGCAACCGCAAUUCUUGGUGUAGCGGUGAGAUGCGUAGAUAUCAAGAGGAACACCUGAGGCGAAGGCGGGUUGCUGGGCCGACACUGACGCUGAUGCGCGAAAGCCAGGGGAGCAAACG